GACGUAGGGCGCGAGCGUUGUCCGGAUUUAUUGGGCGUAAAGAGCUCGUAGGCGGCUUGUCGCGUCGUCCGUGAAAACCCACAGCUCAACUGUGGGCUUGCGGUCGAUACGGGCAGGCUAGAGUUCGGUAGGGGAGACUGGAAUUCCUGGUGUAGCGGUGAAAUGCGCAGAUAUCAGGAGGAACACCAGCGGCGAAGGCGGCGCUCUGGGCCGGUACUGACACUGAGGAGCGAAAGCGUGGGGAGCAAACAGG
rnacentral:rRNA from 1 species